rnacentral:rRNA from 1 species
GAGUUUGAUCAUGGCUCAGAACGAACGCUGGCGGCGUGGAUAAGACAUGCAAGUCGAACGGGAUACUAUUUGUAGCAAUACCGAUAGUGUCCAGUGGCGCAAGGGUGCUUAACACGUGGGCAAUCUGCCGAGAAGUGGGGGAUAGCUCGCCGAAAGGCGAAUUAAUACCGCAUGUGGCCUGUGAAGUCAUCUUCACUACGCCAAAGCCGGGGCAACCUGGCGCUUCUUGAUGAGCCCGCGGCCUAUCAGCUAGUUGGUGAGGUAACGGCUCACCAAGGCUAUGACGGGUAGCUGGUCUGAGAGGACGACCAGCCACACUGGAACUGAGACACGGUCCAGACACCUACGGGUGGCAGCAGUCGAGAAUUUUUCUCAAUGGGGGAAACCCUGAAGGAGCGACGCCGCGUGGAGGAUGAAGGUCUUCGGAUUGUAAACUCCUGUCAUUGGGGAACAAAGCUUCCGGUUAACUGCCGGCGAGUCUGAUAGUACCCGAAGAGGAAGAGACGGCUAACUCUGUGCCAGCAGCCGCGGUAAUACAGAGGUCUCAAGCGUUGUUCGGAUUCAUUGGGCGUAAAGGGUGCGUAGGCGGCGGGGUUAGUCGGAUGUGAAAUCCCAGGACUCAACCCUGGAACUGCAUUCGAUACUGCCUUGCUAGAGUACUGGAGAGGAGACUGGAAUUUACGGUGUAGCAGUGAAAUGCGUAGAUAUCGUAAGGA